CUAGACCACGUAGUGGGCAAUGGCAUAGAAGUUAACAAGCUCGGUUACCCUAACCAUUCCUAGGUGUCUCGGCUGUGUGCAGAAACUGUUAAUGUAACUUUGCCUUAUUAUUGAUCACUAAGGGGACUGAUCCUUAUUCCUAAUCUUCAGGAAUAUUUUUAAUCAUUUUCUAGUUUGUGCAUGGGAGCAGAGAGGGAGGAAGUGAUGCAUCCAGCUGGAUUCCUAGCAGCAGGGAGAGAACCUAGAGAAAGCAAAGUAAUGCUCAGGGAGUGGCAGCUGAGAAACAUCCAGUAGCUUCUAGUGGAAGCCAUAAACAGUUAUGUCCUGGAAUCCAGGGAAAUAACGUCACCCAGUUAUUGUUUAGCUGUGAAUUUGGCAACUCCAGCCUGAUCCAGAUCUUUGGGUAACUGAAAGGUGCAGGGCCUUCUCAGCAGUUUUAAUCCCAAUUAAAGGCAACAAAAAUGCAGACUCGGAUCCUUGGAGGAUUUUAAAAAAGGGGAGAUAGUGAAAUAGUGUGAACAACUGCUCAAGGGCCCCAGCUUUGCCCUUCUAUAUGCCUCAGUUACGCCGAUUGAGGCUCAUCAACAUCCCUGAUCUAAGAGAUGGGCAGGAAAUGCAUGAUAUUACUUGAGCCAGUCUGCUUUCACCAGAUAACGAAUUCCCAUCCUGGCCAGGUGCAAUGGGAGCAAGACCUGGGGCAUCUCCUAGCCAUUAUCCUCUUAAAGCACAUGGCCUUUUCAGCACUGUUCUGCAAAAGGGUUUAAUGAGAACCUUUGUUGUAUUGUGAGUUUCAAACAUGCUUCUGAGGGCAUUUUAUCCCUGCAGGGAUUCCAGAGCUUCUCUGCCUUCGUUAGCGUCUUUCUUUAAAUUUGACUGUUGCAGCCUUCUGUGUUCUGUGUACGUUGCUUGCUUGUGGAUUUAGUCUUCCCAGUAAUCUCAGCUGAGUUGGACUUCUGGGCAAGUGUCAGGCAGACUGAUCCUGAUUCAGGGCAGAGAAACGGGGCAGGCAAGGCUAUGGAAUUCUGUUGCUUCUCACCAAAAGGCUCCUUUUUCUCUGUAUCAGACCCUGGGAACUUCCACUUUUCCAUGGAGAAAUUGGGAAAUAGAUUUUUAAAGUUUUGGGGCGUCACGUGAUGCACUGGGGUCAGGCAAGAGACUUGGGUCUUACUCUCUGCUCUUUCACUUACUCACUUUAAUCUUGGGCAAGUUGGUUCAGCAUCUCCAUGUUUCCCCAUCUGUAAAACUGGCACAAUACUUGCUUUGCUUCAUAAAGUGCUUUGAGAUCUCUCGGUGAAAAGCUCCUUGUAAGCGUGAAGCAUUAAUAAAGAUCUAAUCUGCAUAGCUGGAAACUUAUGGAUAUUUGUGACCUUAGCAAGAAAGCUCAGUGCCAGAGAUGUGAGACUUGUUCUCAGUAACCUGAGGUGGUACUUUAUUUAUUUAAUAUUAUUUAAGCCAAAAUGUGAAGUGCAGGAAUGGAAUUCUUUCUGGUUUACACUUUCCUACACCCGGCCCAGUCAUUCUACUACUGUCACAAAUGUUCCUUCUCAGCCGCAUUGCUGCUGCUGGCAGGGGGACUCAGAAUGAAGCUGAAAUGCAUUUUGUAGCAUCUGCAUCACCAAAAAAUUGAACUUCCUGAGUAUGUUGAGCUGAGCCUGUGUGGCCCUUUGUGAAACAGUGAGGUGGGGGGUAGAUGUUUGCAGAUGCAGAGACAAGUUGUUGCAUUCUUCCCUUUUUUGGUGGUGUGUAUCUGCUCCAGUUGUCUGAUUUGCCUUUCCCAGCCCCCGGACAACCUCUUGGAGUAUCAGAAAGUUGGGAGAGCUCCCAAGGCAUUAAACUUAAAUUUGCCGUUUUCUGUGGAUUAGUCAUUCAGUCAGAAUUCUGGUAUGGGACAGUGGUGGGUGAGGAGUCCAGAAAAUAGGCUUUGCCUUGUGUACGUGAGGGCUGCAUUGGAGUGGGACUGGAGACCUGGCUGCUGUUGACACGGUUGACCUCUGUCAAAUCAGUUUCUGCCUGUAUUUCCUCAUCUCUAAAAUGGGGAUAAUGGCACUUGGCUGCUUUGUGUAAAGUGCAUUGAUCUUCCUGGGGAGGGUCAUAAAUGCUAGAUACUAAAUCUUGUCAUUCAUUUAAGUGCAGGUUGCAGGAGUGAUGGUUUCCCCAAUUACUUGGGGAAACUAUCGGGCAACAAAUUGGUGGGGAAGGGGAGGAGAAAGUGGGUUUAAAGUGGACUUGGUUAAGGGUUUGUAUGGGGGAUCCCAUAGCCUUCCAUUUAAAAAAAAAUACUGAGACGAUAUGUGCAGCUCUCUUUAAAGCUUCCCAUAUGUGUAAACAUCGGAGAUGAUCAAUUGAGGGUCCCCUUUCUCCUUGAGAGGUGUUCCUGUUUGCAGGCCACUCCUCUGCCUGUUUCCUCCCAGUUUGUUUAUAAUCUGGACUGUCAGCUCAUUGGAAGCAGGAAUUAAAGCCAUCCCACUUAGAACUGCGCGCUAAAAGAAUUCAAACUUAGGUGAACUAUGGUGGUAGCACUGAGGGCCGCUGGGCGUCGCUCAGGAGCCCUUGUGCUAGGUGGUAUGAGAGAGCGCGAGCGCCUCCCCCAAAGCACAAUCUAAGUCUGAGGUGGCAGGAGCACAAGGAGACAAUGAGACUUUCCAGUUGUCUCAAUUGUUAUUGCUACCUCUACUGUGGGAAUAAAGAUCUGUUAGAACAUAAAGGGCAUUGACCCUAUUGAUAACUGGCUUUGUGAGCAGGCUCAGUAGAGAGGCCAAAAAUUGGAGUGGACCAUGUAGGCUGAAUUCCCCUCUAUAAUGGUUGUGCAGGUAAGUGCGUUGACUGGGGGUGGGGGAAUCUUGUCCAGUGGCUGCUUUUGCUGUCACUCGAGGGGUGCUUUCUGCUUGCUGCUCGCUUCUGAAGUGAUUAUGCCCAUCACUGGCCUGUGAAUAGACAAGAGCUUUAAAGCUCCCGUCCAUGCCAUCCUAUCACACUUUCCCACCGCCAAAAUCACAUGGCUUUGUUUUUAAAUUGGCCCCGUUAUUAAGGUGCCAGAGCCUGUUUUAAUGUACUCACGUUUGCUGCAGAGCAGUGACUCUGAACUCAUUGAUUUGGGUAUUGGAGAAGGUCCGCUGAACUAACAGAUUUCAAGCUCCUUGUUCGAGGAGUGAAAUCAAGCAAUUACAUUGCACCUGUUACCUAAAGAUUCCAAAGUUCAAGCAGUUGCUUCAGAUUUGCUUGGCUGUUUUUAGGCUGGUAAGUUAAGCUACAACUCGGGCCAUGCAAACCUUUAGCUAGGUGUAGCUUGCAGUAGCCCAUGUGCCUUAUCCUGCUGAGGGAUGGAUGGAUGGAUUUCCUCUCAUUUCUUCUGAGGGGUGUUGCUUGAAUACUGCAAUACUAUUUAAAAUCUCUUGGCUGUGAAAGUUUGUCUCUACACGUAGGAUGAAGUAAUUUUGCUUACGGGGAAAAUGAUCUAAUGUAAUGUGCCUCAGAAGAUUGAUUUUUAAGCACAGAAGUGGAGCUAAAAAUGGAUGGAGAGGCAGGGAAAAUAAUGUCAUUUAUACCCAAUCCUCCCCUCCCUCAUUUCCUGUUAUAUUGGAGCUGAUAAAAUGAUGACAAACGGAGGGUAGAAGGAGAGGUAGCUGUUUAUGAAAUAGAGGCAAGUUUUAUUCCUAUCUCGGGUGGUUCAAUCCUUUACUGGUAGCUGGGUUUAGUUAAAUAAAGAUUUCCUCUACAUGGAUCUUUCACCCCUCCCUUCCCCACCUUCCCUUUCUGGAGAAAAAGCCCAUAGCUCUAGUUAAAUAGGUGAUAGGGUGGGACAUUGGCAACUGUUAGACUUUCACCUCUGGAGAUCUGGGUUCAAAUCCUGUUUGGAUUGUGCAUUAAAGUAAAUUGGGUUUCAGUGCUGUUUGUUCCCAGCAUCCUGCCGUUCUGCUGAGAGUCCUAGGACUGGUAUAGCUGGAGUGUGUCAGGGCAGGGAACUGCAUUAACCACGCUGCGUCAGGGACAAUUUGCAAUGCCUGCCAUAUGCCACUGUGUCUACUUAGGUCUCGCUAAUGUGAGCGGUCGUUUGUGGGAACACAGUCGCUUCCAGUUGUUUUCUUAAAAGUCCAACAUAUGCUUCCCUUCUUGCAAAGCUCAUUCAUGGAGCCCAGUUCUUUGUGACGUCUAGGGAGACUCGGACGACUUCCAAGGCUGUUUGUAAGAUGAAUUCAGGGUCCAAUCCCUUUCUCUGGAGUCAGCCAGGCAAAUUUUAACAUUGACGUCAGUGAGAGCAGGAUUGCUCCCGUGGUGUAGCUGGAGGGAUGGAUGAAGUAACUUCAGCACUAUGUGUGUGGUGUUUUUCUGUUAUGUCCCAGUCCUGCAAACACUGACUCCUCUGCCAGGAGUAUCUCACUGGUAGUAAAUGCUGUGCCCCCAAAGAAGUGUUGGCAGGACCAGACUCUGAAACUGCUAGUGUCUCAGCACUCUUCUUAUUUAUAUAUAGCUACAAUACGCACACACACCAGGCUGCACCUGACCUUUCCCAUGGUUGCUGGAAUGGUGGAGGGAGAUGUCAAGAACUGGGGCUUGCUGCAGUCUCCCAUAAGCUGCUGUUUUAGGAACACAUUUUCCUCCCACUGACUAGACUUCAGGCCUACAAUAAAAGCCACCCUCCACCCCAUUCUGAAGAUGGUGCUAUUUUCCUCCCCAGUGACUAUCGAUACACUUGCCAGGUUUCUUCACUGACCAGGGAGUAGCCUUAUCCACUAGUCUAACCGGGAUUGCUAAAUAACUUCAGGCACAGGUGCUGUUCCCCGAAGAGCGGUAAUUAGCUGUCGAACUCUGUACUAGCUGCGAGGGCUCCUCUAGGAAUUUAUUGACCACAUCUAGGCAGUUUGCUUUCUGUACUGACAGCAAACCUUUGUACACCAGAGCUUGGAAGCAUGAAAACUUUGACGCCCUUUUUCCUUAGAGAGAGAGCUCCUAAUUAAUACUCGUAGGUUGUUGCUGUUAAUAAUUCUGCUUCUCUUGUUUUGCCUGAGCCAAAAGCAUUAAGAGCACUGGUAGCGUGGAACGAUGAUUGCUUUCUAAUAAGAAAUGGAAACUGUACAGUGGACAGUAAAACAUUAAUCUAUUUAAAUCACAGUUUGGGGAGAAAUUAAGUGUUUUUGUGAACUAUCAAGCACUGAGGAAAAUCACAAUAGAUGAGGUUUUUUAAGUACAAAUUUAGUCAGUAUAAAUAUCUGAUUUUUUUGUUAAUUCAAAUUCCCUUCCCCAUUCCGCUGAACAACUCCAUAGAUGACCCUUGGUUUUCACAAAUGAGUUGGACGUACCUUUCUCAUUAAAUUUAGUGCCAUAUUUUAUUUAUCUGUUAUGCAUUAUAAAUAUCUAUCUAUUUAGACUGAAUAUUGCAAUACCAGAUGCUGUUGUUGUGGAACUUCAGGGCAUAAACCCAAUACUAAAACUGAAAAUAUCCCUCCAGUAUAUUAGCGCUUGUGACUGUCUAAAAGUCAUCUUGGUUUUCAUGUUUUGAUUUCAAUAUUAACAAUGAGCGAACCACUUCCUAAAGGUCUGAAGAUGCUAGUGCUGAAGUUCAAGGUCUCUCAAGUUUGACCCUGUGAUUCUAAGGUAUAUCUGGUUGCUUUUCUGGUGCAGUGGAAUUGUCCUUUGGAAAGGUGAUUUUUCUGGCAUUGUUAAAGAGAAGGCAGAAUGGCCUAAUCCAGCCUGCUUGGCUCCACCCUCCUGCCCCCCAAUAUAAAUUCUUGAAGUGGUCAGUUUUAAAUUAAAAACCAGUUCUUUAGGUCUCUGUUCUUUGUAAGAAAGCGUUUUAGGAGUGGGAGUCUGCCCUUGCUGGGUGGGACUGGACAGAGGAAUGCAAAUGAAGUUGCUGUUGCUCAGGAAUUGAUUAGUAAAACUUUUAACUACUAAUAAAAAUCCAUUUUUCAAUGGAUUUAAAACAAAAAAGAAAAACCCAUUUUCUUGCGUAGAACAUGUGAUAUGGGAUGUUUCCUAAUGAACAGGAAUCAGUUUAUACAUUUUAGCCUCUGAAAUUGAAUUAUUUAAAAUUCAAACUUCCCCUAAUUUAUCUGUCUGGUUUUUUUAUACUGGAAUGUUGCCCUGUCAUUCUUCCAUAGAACUAGUGUGAAUUCUUCCGGUGUGUAUAUAUGUAUGUAAUAGUGUGUAUAUAUUAUAUAUAUAUAUAUAUAUAUAUUUUCCACCCACCCUUCUAAUUUUCCACAAUGCAAGAGUUAGUUUUUUUCUCCCCUCCCUUCUGCUUUAAUUUCUUGUCUUUUACCUUGAUUUGUAAUUGAAACAAUGCUUUGAAGUUCUGUCUUUAUAUUAAAAUGUAUGUAUUUUAAUACA